GCCUGGGUGGCUCAGUCGGUAAAGCGUCUGACCCUUGGUUUCAGCUCAGGUCACCAUCUCAUGGUUUGUGAGUUUGAGCCCCACCUCGGGCU
rnacentral:tRNA from 1 species